AUGUACAUUCCUACAAAAGUAAUGCACCAGAUCCCAUCAAAACUUCGUAGCUAAGAAAGUUUGGGCUAGAGUAGUACUGGGAUGGGUGACCUCUUGGGAAGUCCUAGUGUUUUACAUG
rnacentral:rRNA from 1 species